GAAGGACGACGCUUGCCCUCCUUGCUAGAUCACGGGAGUGACGAAAAGCUACUCAAGGACAAGGAGGGUUCGCGAGCAUUCGCCGACGUGCAGCCAUUCUCUCGUGGACCAGAUGUCAUGACCCAUUCCGAAGUCUUCCUCGACCCGAUCCAGCCUCCCCAGCUGCCCCGGGAAACUGUUGCAAUGUAGAAUAGCGAUGGACUACAACGUGCAAGUCGCCAUCAUUGUGAGCUGCGUUCUUCUGCUCCUGGCGAUCCUCGUGGGCACGUUGUGUUACUUCUGCCGGCGCACUUCAGUCGGAGUGCCCUUGGUCGAAGUCUCCAGCAGCAUCUUGGAGGUCUUAACGAGUAUAACCCAGUAGCCAUUUCACAUCACCCGUCACAGCUUCGCGCCAUGCAGAUGCUCUGGGCCUGGUCCCUGAUUGUGUCGAUAGCCACCGUGGUCGCGUUCAUUCUCUUCUGCUACGUCUGCUGGACUGUUUGCGGGAACGGGAAGACGCACCAGAGCCCCGAAAAGCAGUGUGACAAGAACUUCAUCAAGCAUGGUUUCAGGAGCCUUCCAGGGGGCUGGACAUCGGACGCUGAAAGUGGUUGAAGUGUUGGUAACAGAGGUGCGUCGAACACAGACCUUGGGAACCACCUUGGAAGGUAACGUUUCGACAGUGGACGAUAGUGUGUUGGAGUUUAGUAACAGCAACAGUUGCGGAGAUUUUCGCAGUCGCGCGAUUGUGAAAACUCCCGGUUUGCAACGAAUAAAGAUCACAGUGCACUCUA